rnacentral:rRNA from 1 species
AUAAGGGCGCACGGUGGAUGCCUUGGCACUAGGAGCCGAUGAAGGACGGGACUAACACCGAUAUGCUUUGGGGAGCUGUACGUAAGCUAUGAUCCAGAGAUUUCCGAAUGGGGGAACCCAACAUCUUUAAUAGGAUGUUACGAUUGUGUGAAUACAUAGCACAUUCGAGGUAGACGCAGAGAACUGAAACAUCUAAGUACCUGCAGGAAGAGAAAGAAAAUUCGAUUCCCUGAGUAGCGGCGAGCGAAACGGGAAAAGCCCAAACCAGCAAGCUUGCUUGUUGGGGUUGUAGGACUCCAAUAUGGUAGUUCUUUCAGAUAGUCGAAUGACUUGGAAAAGUCAGUCAAAGAGGGUAAAAACCCCGUAGACGAAAUGUGGAAGACACCUAGGAGGAUCCUGAGUACGGCGGAACACGAGAAAUUCCGUCGGAAUCCGGGAGGACCAUCUCCCAAGGCUAAAUACUCCCUAGUGACCGAUAGUGAACCAGUACCGUGAGGGAAAGGUGAAAAGCACCCCGGAAGGGGAGUGAAAUAGAACCUGAAACCGUGUGCCUACAACAAGUCAAAGCCCGUUAAUGGGUGAUGGCGUGCCUUUUGUAGAAUGAACCGGCGAGUUACGAUUGCAUGCGAGGUUAAGUUGAAGAGACGGAGCCGCAGCGAAAGCGAGUCUGAAUAGGGCGUUUGAGUAUGUAGUCGUAGACCCGAAACCAUGUGAUCUACCCAUGUCCAGGUUGAAGGUGCGGUAAAACGCACUGGAGGACCGAACCCACGUACGUUGAAAAGUGCGGGGAUGAGGUGUGGGUAGCGGAGAAAUUCCAAACGAACUUGGAGAUAGCUGGUUCUCUCCGAAAUAGCUUUAGGGCUAGCCUCGGAAUUGAGAAUGAUGGAGGUAGAGCACUGUUUGGACUAGGGGCCCAUCUCGGGUUACCGAAUUCAGAUAAACUCCGAAUGCCAUUCAUUCAUAUCCGGGAGUCAGACUGUGAGUGAUAAGAUCCAUAGUCGAAAGGGAAACAGCCCAGACCACCAGCUAAGGUCCCAAAAUAUAUGUUAAGUGGAAAAGGAUGUGGGGUUGCACAGACAACUAGGAUGUUGGCUUAGAAGCAGCCACCAUUUAAAGAGUGCGUAAUAGCUCACUAGUCGAGUGACCCUGCGCCGAAAAUGUACCGGGGCUAAACAUAUUACCGAAGCUGUGGAGUACACCUUUAGGUGUAUUGGUAGGAGAGCGUUCUAAGGGCGUUGAAGGCAGAUCGUGAGGACUGCUGGAGCGCUUAGAAGUGAGAAUGCCGGUAUGAGUAGCGAAAGACAGGUGAGAAUCCUGUCCACCGAAUGACUAAGGUUUCCUGGGGAAGGCUCGUCCGC